rnacentral:rRNA from 1 species
AUUGAACGCUGGCGGCAGGCCUAACACAUGCAAGUCGAACGAGUGGCGGACGGGUGAGUAAUGUCUGGGACACUGCCCGAUGGAUGGGGCUAACUACUGUAAACGGUAUCUAAUACCGCAUACCAUCGGAUGUGCCCAGAUGGGAUUAGCUAGUAGGUGGGGUAACGGUUAACCUGGGCGACGAUCCCUAGCUGGUCUGAGAGUGUGAACAGCGAAGCGGGAAAUGAGACACGGUGCAGAAGAGUACGGGAUGGAGCAGGGGGGAAGAGGGAUGAGUGGGUGAAAGCCUGCUGCAGGCAUGCCGCGUGGAUGUAGAAGGACUUAGGGUUGUAAAGCACUUUCGGUGGGGAGACGUUCCCUGUAGAAGAAGCACCGGCUAACGCCGUGCCAGCAGCCGCGGUAAUAC